CCGCACGGGUGAGUAACACGUAUCCAACCUGCCGUCUACUCUUGGACAGCCUUCUGAAAGGAAGAUUACUACAAGAUGGCAUCAUGAGUCCGCAUGUUCACAUGAUUAAAGGUAUUCCGGUAGACGAUGGGGAUGCGUUCCAUUAGAUAGUAGGCGGGGUAACGGCCCACCUAGUCUUCGAUGGAUAGGGGUUCUGAGAGGAAGGUCCCCCACAUUGGAACUGAGACACGGUCCAA
rnacentral:rRNA from 1 species